rnacentral:rRNA from 1 species
GUCUUUAAUAAAAUCUUUAAAGUCUAAUCUGCUCACUGAAUUUUAAAGAGCCGCAGUAAAUUGACUGUGCAAAGGUAGCAUAAUCAAUAGUUUUUUAAUUGAGAACUGGAAUGAAUGAUUGGACGAUGAAUUAACUUUCUUAAUUAUUAUAAUAGAAUUUGAAUUUUAGGUAAAAAUACCUAAUUAUUUUUAAAAGACGAGAAGACCCUAUAGAUUUUUAUUUAAUUUUAUAUAUAUAUAUACUAUUUAAAUUAAUUUUAAAUUUAAUUGGGGUGAUUUUGUAAUAAGAAAAACUUAAUUAAUAUUUUAACCAUAAAUAAUUGAAUUUUUUGAUCCUUAUUUUAUGAAUUAAAGAUUAAAUUACCUUAGGGAUAACAGCGUUAUAUUAUUUAAGAGUUCAUAUCUAAAAUAAUAAUUGCGACCUCGAUGUUGAAUUAAGAAAUUUAUAGGGGUAGAAAUUUAUAUUAAUUAGUCUGUUCGACUAUUAAAUUCU